UCUGGUGCCGGGCCUUUAGUAUGUUUGUGCCCUCUUGAGGAAAGAUCAUGAUAAAACUUUUCAGCCUCAGCUGUGUGACAUAAAAAGCUGAAAAUGCAGAUAAUAUCUGAUCUCAAUCAAUUGAAU